rnacentral:rRNA from 1 species
AGUGAACGCUGGCGGUAGGCCUAACACAUGCAAGUCGAACGGCAGCACAGUAAGAGCUUGCUCUUACGGGUGGCGAGUGGCGGACGGGUGAGGAAUACAUCGGAAUCUACUUUUUCGUGGGGGAUAACGUAGGGAAACUUACGCUAAUACCGCAUACGACCUACGGGUGAAAGCAGGGGAUCUUCGGACCUUUCGCGAUUGAAUGAGCCGAUGUCGGAUUAGCUAGUUGGCGGGGUAACGGCCCACCAAGGCGACGAUCCGUAGCUGGUCUGAGAGGAUGAUCAGCCACACUGGAACUGAGACACGGUCCAGACUCCUACGGGAGGCAGCAGUGGGGAAUAUUGGACAAUGGGCGCAAGCCUGAUCCAGCCAUGCCGCGUGGGUGAAGAAGGCCUUCGGGUUGUAAAGCCCUUUUGUUGGGAAAGAAAAGCAGCAGGUUAAUACCCCGCUGUUCUGACGGUACCCAAAGAAUAAGCACCGGCUAACUUCGUG